GGCCUACCAUGGUGGUAACGGGUAACGGGGUGUUAGGGCACGACACCGGAGAGGGAGCCUGAGAAACGGCUACCACAUCCAAGGAUGGCAGCAGGCGCGCAAAUUACCCAAUCCCGACACGGGGAGGUAGUGACAAUAAAUAACAAUACGGGGUUCUUUCGGAUUUCGUAAUUGGAAUGAGUACAAUUUAAAUCUCUUAACGAGGAACAAUUGGAGGGCAAGUCUGGUGCUAGCAGCCGCGGUAAUUCCAGCUCCAAUAGCGUAUAUUAAAGUUGUUGCAGUUAAAAAGCUCGUAGUUGAAUUUCGGGAUCGACGGGUCGGUCGCGCCUCUGGUGUGUACUGGCCCUGUCGGUUUCUCCCUUCUGACGAACCACGAUGUCAUUAAUUUGGUGUCGUGGGAAAUCAGGACUGUUACUUUGAAAAAAUUAGAGUGUUUAAAGCAGGCAUUCGCUUGAAUACAUUAGCAUGGAAUAAUGAAAUAGGACGUUUGAUCUUAUUUUGUUGGUUUCUAAGAUCGACGUAAUGAUUAAUAGGGAUAGUUGGGGGCAUUAGUAUUCAAUUGUCAGAGGUGAAAUUCUUGGAUUUAUUGAAGACUAACUACUGCGAAAGCAUUUGCCAAGGAUGUUUUCAUUAAUCAAGAACGAAAGUUAGGGGAUCGAAGACGAUCAGAUACCGUCGUAGUCUUAACCAUAAACUAUGCCGACUAGGGAUCGGAUGAUGUUAAUUUUUUAAUGACUCAUUCGGCGCCUUACG
rnacentral:rRNA from 1 species